CAUGGCUUUUUGAUUAUAAUUUAAAGUCUGGCCUGCCCUAUGAAUUUUUAAAUGGCUGCGGUACCCUGACCGUGCAAAGGUAGCAUAAUAAUUAGUUUCUUAAUUGGGAACUGGAAUGAAAGGUCGCACGAGAAAAAGACUGUCUCAAUUUAAUUUAAAUUAGAAUUUUAUCUUUAAGUAAGAAAGCUUAAAUAUUAUUAAAAGACGAGAAGACCCUAUAGAGUUUUAUAAUUUUAUAUAUACUUAAAAGUUAAAGUAUUUUAGAUUUAAUUAUAUAUAACAUUAUUUGGUUGGGGCGGCUAAAAAAUUAAAAAAACUUUUUUUACUAAUAAACAUUGAUGUAUGAUUAAGUGAUCCAUAGAGUUAUGAUUAUAAGAUCAAAUUACCUUAGGGAUAACAGCGUAAUUUUUUUUGAGAGUCCUUAUCGAAAAAAAAGUUUGCGACC
rnacentral:rRNA from 1 species